rnacentral:tmRNA from 1 species
CCUGGCUUCGACGGGGGUACGGAGUAUGGAGUAGCCGGAGGUUGUCGCCAAACAACCUAAAAAGUGGCAACUUAAAUUAAACGCAGACGAAAAUUACGCAUUAGCUGCCUAAUAAAGGUAGCUCACUUACUCUAAUAGUCCCGCCUAUUAGAGAUUAAGUGUCAUUAUAAGCGGGGCCCUGCUUAAGGGAUUCUUUGACCUUAAGUUAGUAUAAUUAGAGAUAGUUCAUCAUUUAGCCUGUUGCUUGGCGAUUUGAUGGAUGAAAUUAAAGAAGCAACUGUUUCGGGAGAAACUCCAUAUGAAGUACCUUCGGACGUGGGUUCGAUUCA